AAGUAUUGGACUCAGGUCAUGAGACUUGACAGCAAGCGCCGUGCUUACUAAGCUAUAUCGUGGACCUACAGAACAAGUCUGAAUUUCAUUUUCUUCCUGUUCCCCUAAUGAUAAUGUACCAUUAUCCACUGUAUCUCCACAUGGUUGGAACUUUCUGCAUUCUUCCUUACUAAAUGGAAAAUGAUGUAGCUGCUAUCCUAAAACCCAGGAGGCAAUGGCAAUUUCUGGUUAAGUUGUAAUUUGUAAAUGUGUUUCCUUACGCACAAUGGCUGGGAAUGUCAUUCAUCAUGGAUGCCACUGACCAUACG